rnacentral:rRNA from 1 species
UAAGGAAUAUUGGUCAAUGGACGCAAGUCUGAACCAGCCAUGCCGCGUGAAGGAUUAAGGCCCUCUGGGUUGUAAACUUCUUUUAUAGGGGAAGAAAUGUGACGGUUCUCCGUCACUUGACGGUACCCUGGGAAUAAGCACCGGCUAACUCCGUGCCAGCAGCCGCGGUAAUACGGAGGGUGCAAGCGUUAUCCGGAUUCACUGGGUUUAAAGGGUGCGUAGGUGGGCAGAUAAGUCAGUGGUGAAAUCUUCCGGCUUAACCGGGAAACUGCCGUUGAUACUAUUUGUCUUGAAUAUUGCGGAGGUAAGCGGAAUAUGUCAUGUAGCGGUGAAAUGCUUAGAUAUGACAUAGAACACCAAUUGCGAAGGCAGCUUGCUAUGCGAUUAUUGACACUGAGGCACGAAAGCGUGGGUAGCAAACA